CAAUACCUCUUAAAUGUGGUGUGAACUUCAGUGUGGCUUUUAAUGCUUCUGUAGGUUCAUAACUGCCUGGAGGACUUGAUCACUGGCUUAUGGACAAGGUGCAUGCCUUUGGAGGAAGACCAAAAUCAGCAGGCUAUGGCCGGACAGCUUCCGGAGGAGAUUGCCGAUGCUCUUGAACAGCAGUCGCUUCCAGAAGGCUCGCUUGGAGUUACAAAGCUUUGUUGCGGUGAGCUGAAGGAAGACAAACUGCGGUUGCAGGAGGAACUGGACAGGGUUAAAGCCAAGUUGCAGGAGUCGGAAGAACAGCGUGUUCAGUCCGAGCGUUGUGCUCAGGACUUGAAGACGGCCCUGGAAAAGAAACAAAGAGAAGUGGUAGCUGUUUCCCAGCAACUGCAAGACCUUCUGGAAGCCUCCUCAGGAACUGUUAGCCUAAAACCUCUGGAAGAACGAGUG